UCUGGAGCGGCCCCAUCAGCAUAGGCUUGGCUUUGCCUUCCCUCAGGUGGGAUACAUGGAGGUCCCCGCCUACCUCAGUCAGUUGUCCAAUCCCACCUGGGGGAAGCGUUGCCAAGGAGACCAGGCCAGGUAGGGGGAGGGAUUACCUGCCCACACAAUAGAGGGAGGAUCUUACCUGGGAAUCCUCACUUGGCUCCAGAGC